GAGGAACUGAAGGGCUAUUGAAGACAGAAAUUACUGGUAGCCUUAAGCUGUUUGGGUAAACAUCUCAAAAGAUUUGGACUCUCUGGCCAUGGGAUUGUAGGCUGGCACUCCCCAGGAUUGUUGACUCUUUACAAAUAUGUCUCAUCACCUGGUGCCGAGUGCCCUGGAUGGACAGACACCACUAUGAUGGACAGGGUUCCCCAAAGAUUCUGUCACCCCAAGACAGCAGGAAGAAGUGUAGAGAACACAACACCCACAUUCUCCAGAG